rnacentral:rRNA from 1 species
GACGAACGCUGGCGGCGUGCUUAACACAUGCAAGUCGAACGAAGAGCGAUGGAAGCUUGCUUCUAUCAAUCUUAGUGGCGAACGGGUGAGUAACGCGUAAUCAACCUGCCCUUCAGAGGGGGACAACAGUUGGAAACGACUGCUAAUACCGCAUACGAUCUAAUCUCGGCAUCGAGGAUAGAUGAAAGGUGGCCUCUACAUGUAAGCUAUCACUGAAGGAGGGGAUUGCGUCUGAUUAGCUAGUUGGAGGGGUAACGGCCCACCAAGGCGAUGAUCAGUAGCCGGUCUGAGAGGAUGAACGGCCACAUUGGGACUGAGACACGGCCCAGACUCCUACGGGAGGCAGCAGUGGGGAAUCUUCCGCAAUGGACGAAAGUCUGACGGAGCAACGCCGCGUGAGUGAUGACGGCCUUCGGGUUGUAAAGCUCUGUUAAUCGGGACGAAAGGCCUUCUUGCGAAUAGUGAGAAGGAUUGACGGUACCGGAAUAGAAGCC